rnacentral:rRNA from 1 species
GAAAAGAAACCAACAGGGAUUGCCCCAGUAACGGCGAGUGAAGCGGCAACAGCUCAAAUUUGAAAUCUGGCUUCGGCCCGAGUUGUAAUUUGCAGAGGAUGUAUUUGGCGCGGUGCCUUCCGAGUUCCCUGGAACGGGACGCCAUAGAGGGUGAGAGCCCCGUCUGGUUGGACACCAAGCCUAUGUAAUACUCCUUCGACGAGUCGAGUAGUUUGGGAAUGCUGCUCUAAAUGGGAGGUAAAUCUCUUCUAAAGCUAAAUACCGGCCAGAGACCGAUAGCGCACAAGUAGAGUGAUCGAAAGAUGAAAAGCACCUUGAAAAGGGGGUUAAACAGUACGUGAAAUUGUUGAAAGGGAAGCGUUUAUGACCAGACUUGUGCCGUGUGGCUCAUCCGGGGUUCUCCCCGGUGCACUCCAUACGGUUCAGGCCAACAUCGGUUCUCGUUGGGGGAUAAGAACAGUAGGAACGUGGCCCUCUUCGGAGGGUGUUAUAGCCUAUUGUACGAUACCUUGAUGGGGACCGAGGACCGCGCUUCGGCUAGGAUGUUGGCGUAAUGGUCAUUAGCGACCCGUCUU